rnacentral:miRNA from 12 species
CCAGUGGGGGCGCUGUUACCUU